GGUUCAUGAUUUGCUCAUUGUCUUUCUCAAGAUGUUGCUCUUGGAUCCUAAUGGCAGAUAGUAGGGUUUUCAUGCUCAUUUCCUCGAUCUUAUGUUUUAGAGACAACCCAAAACCUUUCCAAGAAGGUGGAAGCUUGUCAAUGGUAUAAGCAACUUGAAGGCUCUCAGUUAUACCCAUUCCCCUUAAGCCUAAUUCAUGAUAAAUCACUGUUAGCUCAUGAGCUUGGUCAACUAUGGGCUUGGUGUCUACCAUCUUAUAAGACAUGAAUUGACUAGCAGUAUACUUGUCCAUUCCGGCAUCUUGGCUACCAUAUUUUUUAUUAAGAUCAUCCCAAAUCUCCUUAGAGGUUUUCAAAGUGCAAUAGA
rnacentral:lncRNA from 1 species